rnacentral:misc_RNA from 1 species
CCAAUAGCGUAUAUUAAAGUUGUUGCAGUUAAAAAGCUCGUAGUUGAAUUUUAGGCCUGGCCGGAUGGUCCGUCUUUGGCGAGUACUGUUCUGUCGUCGGGUCUAUCCUUCUGGUGAGCCGGGAUGCCCUUUAUUGGGUGUGUCGGGGAACCAGGACCAUUACCUUGAAAAAAUUAGAGUGUUUAAAGCGGGCAUUUACUUGAAUAGAUUAGCAUGGAAUAAUAGAAUAGGACGUUGGUUCUAUUUUGUUGGUUUUAGGACCACCGUAAUGAUUAAUAGGGAUAUUUGGGGGCAUUAGUAUUCAAUUGUCAGAGGUGAAAUUCUUGGAUUUAUUGAAGACUAACUAUUGCGAAAGCAUUUGCCAAGGAUGUUUUCAUUAAUCAAGAACGAAAGUUAGGGGAUCGAAGACGAUCAGAUACCGUCGUAGUCUUAACCAUAAGCUAUGCCGACUAGGAAUCGGGCGACGUUAUUUCAUGACUCGCUCGGCGCCUUAUG